rnacentral:rRNA from 1 species
GAUGAACGCUGGCGGCGUGCCUAAUACAUGCAAGUCGAGCGAACAGGCGAGGAGCUUGCUCCUCUGACGUUAGCGGCGGACGGGUGAGUAACACGUGGAUAACCUACCUAUAAGACUGGGAUAACUUCGGGAAACCGGAGCUAAUACCGGAUAAUAUAUUGAACCGCAUGGUUCAAUAGUGAAAGACGGUUUUGCUGUCACUUAUAGAUGGAUCCGCGCCGCAUUAGCUAGUUGGUAAGGUAGCGGCUUACCAAGGCAACGAUGCGUAGCCGACCUGAGAGGGUGAUCGGCCACACUGGAACUGAGACACGGUCCAGACUCCUACGGGAGGCAGCAGUAGGGAAUCUUCCGCAAUGGGCGAAAGCCUGACGGAGCAACGCCGCGUGAGUGAUGAAGGUCUUCGGAUCGUAAAACUCUGUUAUUAGGGAAGAACAAAUGUGUAAGUAACUAUGCACGUCUUGACGGUACCUAAUCAGAAAGCCACGGCUAACUACGUG